GUUAGGGUUAGGGUUAGGAUUAGGGUAAGGGUUUAAGUUAGGGUUACGUUAAGGGAUAGGGUUAGGUUAGGGUUAGGGUUAGGGUUAGGGUUGUGGUUCGUGUAGGGUAGGAUUGGGGUUAGAGUAUGGGUUUGGGUAGGGUUAGGGUUAUUGUUAGGGUUAGGGUUACGGUCAGGGCUAUAAUUAAGAUUAGGAUUAGGGUUAGGGUAUGGAUUAGGGCUGUAGCAUGGGUAAGGGCUAGGGCAAGUGUUAGGUUUUGGGUUAGGGUUAGAGUUAUGUUUAGGCUUCAGGUUCGUGUUACGAUUAGGGUUUGUGUUAGGGAUAGUAGAGUCGUUAUGUUUUGUAUUAGGGUUAGUGUUUGCGUAAGGGUUAGGGCAGGAUUAAAUUUAAGGUUAGGGUUAGGUUUAGGCUUUGGUUUAGGUUUUGUGUUUGGGAUCAGGUAGGGGUAGGGGUAGGUUUAGGGUUAAGUUUAGCGUUUGGGUUAGGGUUAGGGUUUGGUUUAGGUUUUAGUUUCGGUUUAAGAUUACGGUUUGACUUAGGCUUCAACUUUGGCUUGGGGUUCGGAUUAAGUUUGGGUAAGGGCUGGGAUUAGGCCUAGGGUUGCAGCUCAGUAUAGGGUUAGGGUUAGUGUUAGGGGUAGUGUUAAAGGUAUAUUGUUUAGGUUUAGGGUUAGGGUUAGGUUCAGGGUUUGCUUAGGUUUUGGGUUAGGGUUAGGGUUAGGGUUACGUUUAGAGUUAUAUUUAGAGUCUGGGUGAGGGUUUAGUUAGGGUUAAGGUUAGGGUUAGGGUUAGGGUCAGGGUCAGGGUCUGGGUCAGGGUCAGGAUUAGAGUUAGGGUUAGGGCCAGUGUCAGGGUCAGGGUUAUGUUUAGGGUUAGGAUUAGGGUUAGGGUUAAGGUUAGGUUAGGGUUCAAGUUAGGGUUGGGUUUAGGCUUAGGCUAAGGGUUAGGGUUAGGGUUAGGGUUAUAUUUAGCGUUUGUGUAAGGGUUAGCUUAAGAUUAAAACAAGGGAUAGCAUAGGGUAGGUUAGGGUUAGGGUUAGGUUUACGGUCAGGGUUAGGUUUAGGGUUAGGGUUAGGGUUAAAGUUAGCGUUAGCGUUAGGGUUAGGGCUAGCGUUUGCGUUAGCGUUAGGGUUACGGUUAGGGUUAGGUUAGGGUAGGUUUAGGUUUAGGGUUAGGGUUAGGGUUAGGUUUAGGUUUAGGGUUAGGGUUAGGGUUAGGGUUAGGGUAAAGUUAGGGUAAGGGUUAGGGUUACGGUUAUGGUUAGGGUAGGGUUAGGAUUAGGGUAAGGGUUAGGGUUAGGGUUAGGGUUAGGGUAGGGCUAGGGUUAGGGUUAGGGUUAGGGCUAGGGUUAGGGUUAGGGUAAGGGAAGAGUUAGGAUUAGGGGUAGGGUAAGAGAUUUGGUUAGGGUUAGGGUUAGCUUUAAUUUUAGGGUUACGUUUAGGGUUAUGGUUACGGUAGGGUUCGGGUUCAGGUUAGGGUUAGGAUUAUGGUUAGGCUGAAGGUUAGUGUUAGGGAUAGGUUUAGCGUUAUGAUUCGUGUAGGGUAGGAUUGGGAUUAGAGUUUCUGUUUACGUAGGGUUAGGGUUUUGUCUGGGUUAGGGUUACGGUCAGGGCUAUAAUUAAGGUUAGGAUUAUGGCUAUGGUAACCUUACCCUAACCCUAACCCUAACCCUAACCCUAA
ensembl:lncRNA